UAUCCUUUGUUUCUUAUCUUUCGCAGCACGGCGUCAUCUGUAGUAAACUCCAACGCGGCUGUUCUGUUUGUGGACAUUGUGUCGCCAAACUUCCACGUUCCACAAGCGAAGAUUGCGCUCGUAAUGGCCGGCCUCGCCACGGCAAGCGGCACCGUCAUGACGAUCGUGGGCCUCUUGGUUCCCUACAUAGGAUCUGCCGCAAGGUUUUUCGUCAUACUGGGCGCCGCAGCGUCCGGUCCAUUCGCAGGAAUCGUUAUUCUUGCGUUCAGUGUUUCCCUGGUCCAACACGAAGCUCGGACGUUUUCCCGCUCUACCGGCUCUCGGCCUACUGGUGCUGCCUGUUCUCGACCAUACUGACGGUGCUCCUGGGCCUGACUUUCAGCGUCAUAUCCGCUCAACCGGAUGAUAGCCUCGAAAACUCCUUCCGCCUUUCGAGUCCUUUGGCCUUGAAGUUCUGGCGGCGAAUCGGCUUGCUUCGACAUCGACAAAAGGAACCUGACCACGUAGCCGUCAACGAGCGAAGCGAUAGGAUAUCAUCGUACGAAAUUCAGCCUUUGCAAGAUAAACAAGACGACGUCUAACCCAUACACGUGCGGGGAACACGAGGGGAACGGAGUCAAGACUCUU
rnacentral:misc_RNA from 1 species